AGCAGCCGCGGUAAUUCCAGCUCCAAUAGCGUAUAUUAAAGUUGUUGCAGUUAAAAAGCUCGUAGUUGAAUUUUGGGUUUGGCCGGUCGGUCCGUUCUUGUAACGAGUACUGGUUGGUUGGGCCUCACUGCUUGGGGAAGCGUAAUGUCCUUUAUUGGAUGUUACUCGUAGCCAAGACCUUUACCUUGAAAAAAUUAGAGUGUUUAAAGCAGGCUUAUGCCAGAAUACAUUAGCAUGGAAUAAUAGAAUAGGACAAUGAUUCUAUUUUGUUGGUUUCUAGGACCGUUGUAAUGAUUAAUAGGGAUAGUUGGGGGCAUUAGUAUUCAAUUGUCAGAGGUGAAAUUCUUGGAUUUAUUGAAGACUAACUACUGCGAAAGCAUUUGCCAAGGAUGUUUUCAUUAAUCAAGAACGAAAGUUAGGGGAUCGAAGACGAUCAGAUACCGUCGUAGUCUUAACCAUAAACUAUGCCGACUAGGGAUCGGGCGAUGUUAUUUAAAUGACUCGCUCGGCACCUUAUGGG
rnacentral:rRNA from 1 species